GACGAACGCUGGCGGCGUGCCUAAUACAUGCAAGUCGACCUUAGUGGCGAACGGGUGCGUAACCUGUUGGUAACCUGCCCAUCAGAACGGGAUAACACUUGGAAACAGGUGCUAAUACCGUAUACUGAUGGAUGGACCCUCGGUGCAUUAGCUAGUUGGUGAGGUAACGGCGCACCAAGGCCACGAUGCAUAGCCGACCUGAGAGGGUGAUCGGCAACAUUGGGACUGAGACACGGCCCAAACUCCUACGGGAGGCAGCAGUAGGGAAUCUUCGGCAAUGGACGAAAGUCUGACCGAGCAACGCCGCGUGAGUGAAGAAGGUUUUCGGGUCGUAAAACUCUUUUGGUAGAGAAGCGGUAUCUAAACAGAAAGCCACGGCUAACUACGUGUCAGCAGCCGCGGUAAUAC
rnacentral:rRNA from 1 species